CUACGGGGUGCUGCAGUGGGGAAUUUUGGACAAUGGGGGCAACCCUGAUCCAGCCAUGCCGCGUGAGUGAAGAAGGCCUUCGGGUUGUAAAGCUCUUUCAGCCGGGAAGAAAUCGCAUGGGUUAAUACCCUGUGCGGAUGACGGUACCGGAAUAAGAAGCACCGGCUAACUACGUGCCAGCAGCCGCGGUAAUACGUAGGGUGCGAGCGUUAAUCGGAAUUACUGGGCGUAAAGCGUGCGCAGGCGGAUGCUUAAGUCAGAUGUGAAAUCCCCGGGCUUAACCUGGGAAUUGCAUUUGAAACUGGGUGUCUAGAGUGCGUCAGAGGGGGGUGGAAUUCCACGUGUAGCAGUGAAAUGCGUAGAUAUGUGGAGGAACACCAAUGGCGAAGGCAGCCCCCUGGGAUGACACUGACGCUCAUGCACGAAAGCGUGGGGAGCAAACAGGAUUAGAUACCCGAGUAGUC
rnacentral:rRNA from 1 species